rnacentral:lncRNA from 1 species
GAAAAAUUUCUGAAGUGAGGUCCCUGAAGAGGCAAAGGGGAUGCAAGUGGCAGUUGGCCUCAACUAGGAGCAUGGACUUUUAUGGCUACUAAUAGGAAACAAAACAAUAUACAUGGUGACAAAAAAUGGGUGGGUAAGUGAAUACUAUGGGAGGAGCUUGCAGAAAGUCUAACUACGUCUACUUCUUCGAUGAAACAAGAAGUAAAGUCUUCAGCUAAGAGUGAAGAUGAUGGUGGAAGUGGUAGAGAAUUUGGGAGAGAAGAGAUCUGAAACAGCCAUCUACAAGGGCAGUGCCUUCCAAAGGAGCUGGGUGCAUAGCAGAGGUUCCAUGAAUACUCACUGCAUUCAAUCAGAACCAUAACUGCUACCUCUCUAGAAUCCAACGCUGUCCUGGUGGGGCAGAGCUCACAAGCCUGAUGCCAACACAAGAAGAGAAUGUGGUUCAGGAUGGCUGAUUUUGAGCUCCUGGGACUUUUUGGCUUGGAGAUUUUGGCUUGGGGGUCAUGGUCAGGAGGGCACCAACUGAGAUGCAAAUAUCCAGACAGGAGAGUCAUCUGUUCCAUGUAGACAUCAGACUUCAGAGGUUGCUUUGGAAGACUUACUUGCGUUCGUUAUAAUGUCGCCAGGCAGGCAUGACAAAAUGUUAUCUGGCCCAUGGCAAAUACAGCAAAACCUUUAUCUCUACCUUUUAGACGGGUUAACUGAGAUUUAUUCUUAGUCCAUUUGCUUUCUCAUUUUUCGAGAACAUUUGGAUAUUUGUUUCCUACCUCUGUGCUUUCAAUUCAUAGAAACUACAAUUUCGAAUAAGAACAUUUGAUUCAGCUUGUAGUACUAAGCUCAUUCUGUCAGCUAAGUGGUUUGAGGCAACUUGAGAUUUUAGUUUUUAUUAUUGCUUCUUUAAACCAUGAUUACUAUAACAGGUAUUUUUACAUGUUCAAUUUUUUAUAAGAUCUACCUCUAGAUUCUUAUGUUUCUAAUCUUAUUUCAACUUUAAAUUAUCUACCGUCUCUUGAGUCCAGCCUAUUUUCUACCUAAAUUUAAAAAAAAUUACUCUGGGUUCAUGUUGUUUAGUGAAAGCCCAUAGUUAGUGCCCACAGCAGAGUUUCCCCUUGUGUUUCUAGGAGGCCUCUUUUCAAAGUGGGUCAGUGCCGUAAUUAAUUAAUCCACGUACUGGGUAGAAAAACAUAGACAAAAUAAUAUAGGUUGUAUUUCUACUUCUUAGCAUGUUGCCAUUAUGCUUAAUACCUAUUCCAUGAAUGAAUGAAUAAAUAUAUGAAUGAACAUCUACAUGCAUACAUAAAUGCAUACAAGAGGAGAAGACAAAGGGACAUGGAGUUCACAGGGAUGAGUCAUCACUUCUAGGUGGUGCAGGGGUGGGGGUAAGGCAGAGAUGGCAGGCACAUUGAAGGAGGACAAGUGGAAAAUGUGCUGGAAUUUUCAGCCAAAAGGGCUAGGGUUGAGGUGGGGGUGAAGAUACUCCAGCAGGAGCUAAAGGUACAAGCAGGACAAAGCAUGUCUGGAGUGUAGUAAGUCAUCCAAUACGGCCAGAGAGACAGAAGGAGUUGUGUAAUAUGAGGUACACUUAUUUGCAAAGAUCAGUUCAGGUGGAAUUGCAAAGGGCUUGGGAGUUGCGUUGAUUCCAUAAGAACUUCGACAAAAAAGCCGGUGUGAUUCAAUACAUUACCCUCCAGCAUAUGAACAUGUGAAACAGACAUCUAUAGUGAAAAAGUCUAAACAGAUUUUAAGAGGACUCAUGAGAAGUUGCUUAGAACUAAUUCCUUUUGGAGGAGAUUUUGAAAUGUAAGCAAUGCAACAAAUAAAAGCUUCUUUUUCUGAUCAUGCAGGACACUGAACGGUCUGAUUUUUCAAAGGUCAGUUACUCGGUGAUACAGUUGAGCUGAUCUACAUCUGCAUUCACUUUCCAUGCCCCUAGACCUUUCCAGCGAAGGCUGUUGGACAGUAGAAAUAAGCAUGGUGCUGUGAGGCAGAACUGGGACAGAAAGCUCUCAGAUGAAAAAGUCCCAUUGUAUUGCCUUCACUUGUUCUUUCUUUCCUUUUUCUCUUUCUUUCUUCCCACUGCUUUUCACUUGUUUGUUUUGCUUUGCACACACACACUUACUUAACUGGGACUAUGGGAUUUAGCAUUAUAAUUCCAAACAUAUCAGAUUUCAAGUGUGUCUCUGUCUCAAUUACUAAAAUCAGACUUCCUGAGCAAAGAGAAAGCCUCCACUUUGCUCCCAGCGAAUGAUUGGGCUGUAAUGAACAUCUGGAAUGUAUACUCGGCUUCUUUACAUGAUUACUGAUAGACCCAAUCCCGUUGCGUUCUUUCAAGACUAUAAAAACGUGUUAACAUGGUUACAUCACACACUUCAGCUGGUUUGUAUAAGGCAUGAUUUUGCCACAUGACAUUUAUGUAAGAAAGUAAAUAAUAGUCCCAUUCAAAGUGAUGCUGUAGCUCAGAGCACUCAUGUCAGCCUAGCCCUGGCAUUUCCUGCCCAUUUUCUGGACUUAACCAAAUUGCUUGACACUGAGCUGUGUAAACUUACUCUCCAGGCAGCAUAGUCUAGUAGUUUGAAGAGAAUGAAGUUUUCUAUAAUUUGAGGUGACCCCCAGCUUCAGUGUGGGUGGUUGGACUGCCCCAACUGAUGAGUUGCGUCUUCCAGACAUGUGUUUCAGGCUUUCCCUUCACAAAGAAAAUCCUUCUUAUGUAGGAUAACACAGCCCUGGGUUUGGCAUGCUAGGGACAUGGUUGCCACUGAAAUUUUUCAAAAGGGCUCGAUGAAGAUCCUGUGGAAUUGUUAUUUAUAAACCGCAAAAGUGUAAAUUUAUCACCACUAGUGCUAAACGCUGAUAAUCGCAAUUGUCUGGUUAUUCCUGGCUACACUUAAUGUCUGUUCCUGGUUCUUCUCUCCCACUGAAAAGAUUCCCUUCAUUCCCCACGAGCAUUGGGUUUUAUGUUUUGUCUGUUUUGUGUUUGGGUCCUAAGAGUUGAUCAGGUUUGGGUCACAAGAGUCCCUUGCCCCACUGAGGCUGUCCAUGGGAGCAACACUUGGCAAAUUGUCUGUGGUUUGAAAACAUUUGCUUUAUCUGCAAAAUCCACAAAAGUGAGUGGGUCGGAAAAGUCCAGAUGUUGGAAGAUUUGACCUAGAUAACCUCUUGGGAAAAACAGAGCCUUCACUUAGCAGCCCCAUCUUCUCUCCAAACUUUGCAAAUGCUACAAUUGCCUCUGGAUGUCUCCUGAUUUCCAAAGGCACAGAGUAAACUCAACAUUGUUGGCAACUUGCAGAGAAGCCAGCCAUCCAGGAUGUGGGACUGCCACCUUGAUGGGAACCCAAGCUGGGAAGGAGCCUGCCAUUGAUCGGUGGUACUCUAGCCCUGGUAAGAUCCAGAUCUGAAGUUACCAUCUUCCUUGGAAAGAAUCAAAGAUGUAAAUCUAGAGAACAGUUGAUUAAAGGGAAGUAGUUCAGUUAGUAUUCAUUAGCCAGGGAAAGAAGGGGGAUAAAAAAGAUCAUAAAGAAUAGCUGGGAGCAAAAGGCCAAAGUACCAAUCAGUGAGUAUACAACCUGGACAAACCAUUCUGCCUUGAAAUGCAGGAAAGUUAGCAAGACUUUAGGAAAUGUCCCUAAACCAUCACAAACUCCAUUUGGGACUUGCCAGACAGGAAAAGCAACAGCUUUCUGGGAACCCCCAAGCUGCACAGAUUCUAAGGCAGAUUGAGAGGGAUUUGCUAUGUUAUCUAUCCCAUGACAACUUGUGGAUGCUUCCCGAACUCUAGGAAGUAUAGACACCAGAGAUUGAGUUUGCCUUAGCUUCUAGGACUCUAAGAAGUACAGCAUAAACUGUCAUUAAGUGGGUAAUGUUAAGGCCUUUAUGUUUCAUCAGAACAAAGUUAAUCUAAAUCAGAGUGGGAUUUGGUAGAUGGAUGUUCGGCAGUGUGAGUUGCUUUAUUGCAGUUCCCACAUCUAAAGUUCAAGCAAGACUAUGCCCCAGAAAACCUACCCUCUGUUCCCGCAGCUGAUAGAGUAUAGGUAUAAGUGGUUUCCCAUCAGGGGCAGCCUUUGCCUGUUCUUCCGGCUUGGACUCUUGUACCUCUUGCUUCUAGAGGAAUAAUUGUCUAUCUCUGCUUGCUUGAAUUAAUUCUAUUUCUGGUUGGUUGUUUUGUUUUAUUAGAGGUGACAGAAUGCAGUGCGAAAUCUGUAGGGACUUGUUUUCUCCUCUCUGUAUUCUGAGGCAGUAGCUCAGACUGGAAGUGGUGCAAAUGAAGACCAGUAAACAUAAUCUUUCAUUGUUAGUUUCUCCUAAAAUGCUCCAAAUAUGGCUGUAACCAGACUCCAUCCUAAGUGUUCACCUCUGAACUUUUCAGCCUGGCUAUUUUGAAAAUGGCUAAUACAAUUAUUCUAAACUUGUGUUCAGCACUAUCCCUUUAUUGAGCACCAAUGAAAGGGCAACAUUGUACUGUGGUGAAUGUGGGGGUUAUACAACAAAAUAUUGAAAGAGAUCAUCCCUCAAAUAAAGAUGUGUAAGCCAUGUAUUACACCAAUUGUGUAUCAUACCAACCUGAAUUUGAAUCCUAGCUCUGUAAUUUACCAGCCAUGGGAGAUGAGGCAAAUCAUUUAACUUCUCCUAACUCAUUUUUCUCUUCAUUCAUCCAAGAAAUAUUUUUGAGAAGCUGAUAUGUCCAAGAACUGCAUCAGGCACUUUGAAAUGAAAGUAGUAGUGGAGUAUCUAUUUCAUUGAGGUGUAUGAGAAUUAAGUGGGAUAAUUAAAAUAAUAUGAAAUAAGGAAUUGAAAAUAAAAG